GAUGAACGCUGGCGGCGUGCUUAACACAUGCCAGUCGAACGAGAAAUGGAGACGGAAACCUUCGGGCGGAAGGCUUCAUUUCGAGUGGCGGACGGGUGAGUAACGCGUGGGUAACCUGCCUCAUACAGGGGGAUAACAGUUGGAAACGACUGUUAAUACCGCAUAAGACCACAGCACCGCAUGGUGCGGGGGUAAAAACUCCGGUGGUAUGAGAUGGACCCGCGUUCGAUUAGCCAGUUGGCGGGGUAACGGCCCACCAAAGCGACGAUCGAUAGCCGAUCUGAGAGGAUGACCGGCCACAUUGGGACUGAGACACGGCCCAAACUCCUACGGGAGGCAGCAGUGGGGAAUAUUGCACAAUGGGGGAAACCCUGAUGCAGCGACGCCGCGUGAGUGAAGAAGUACUUCGGUAUGUAAAGCUCUAUCAGCAGGGAAGAAAAUGACGGUACCUGAGGAAGAAGCCCCGGCUAACUACGUG
rnacentral:rRNA from 1 species